CUUCCUUCGGGGGGCAGGCUCACCAGCGGUCCGGCACAGGCGUACCAUAGCUCCUCGUUGAUCCCCUUCGUCUCCCCACCACCUAAUGGACAACACCGGUCAGUACAAGGUGAGGUUGCUAUCCACUUUGGUGCUAUCUAAUAUGGUGAGCGAGGGAGGACUACCUUCAGAAGAGGUUGCUCCCCUUGCGGCCGCCCCGCCGGCGCUCCCCGGAGCUUUCAUCGUCUCGCUCAUAGGUUCAGCGCCUCCGGAUCAGCUGACGACGGCAGACUGCACCAAUCUAAAGCACCUUCGGCAUCUCGGAUGUAGGUCCUGCGAACUCAACAGUGAGCGACUUGUAGUCCCAGCGGAAGGAACGAGGCACCGUCCAUCGAUCUGCGGUGACGGAAGAUGAUGGAAGGAGGAUAUCUCUCCUCCCACUGCGCCGCCCCUGUCCCCC
rnacentral:lncRNA from 1 species